rnacentral:lncRNA from 1 species
AGAACUGCAUAAUUUACUUACCUCAGCUAGUAAAAAGGAAAUGCUGCGAAAUUCCGUUGAUCAAAACAAACCCAAAAUUCCUUUCCUGCACUACUUAAGCAUCACAGCUUCAGAUUCACCUUCAUCCAAUCAAGUCCUAAGAACACUACAAACCAAAAUUGCAUGAACAGAGAAACCCAUGCUCAACCCAGUAACUUUCCUUUAGAAUUAAAACCAAUAAAACACUCGGUCAAAUAUCACCCCUCAGAAAAAACACAUAAGGAUCAAAAUCAGACAAAAAACCAGAUCUUAUUAUUGAUACAAAAUUAGAUAUAUCCAUAUUUGCUCAAAAUUAGGUGAAAUUAG